UACGUAGGGUGCAAGCGUUAAUCGGAAUUACUGGGCGUAAAGCGUGCGCAGGCGGUGAUGUAAGACAGUUGUGAAAUCCCCGGGCUCAACCUGGGAACUGCAUCUGUGACUGCAUUGCUGGAGUGCGGCAGAGGGGGAUGGAAUUCCGCGUGUAGCAGUGAAAUGCGUAGAGUAUCGGGAGGAACACCAGUGGCGAAGGCGGCUCUCUGGGACGGUACUGACGCUGAGACGCGAAAGCGUGGGGAGCAAACAGG
rnacentral:rRNA from 1 species